GAUGAACGCUGGCGGCGUGCCUAAUACAUGCAAGUCGAGCGAACAGAUAAGGAGCUUGCUCCUUUGACGUUAGCGGCGGACGGGUGAGUAACACGUGGGUAACCUACCUAUAAGACUGGGAUAACUUCGGGAAACCGGAGCUAAUACCGGAUAAUAUUUCGAACCUCAUGGUUCGAUAGUGAAAGAUGGUUUUGCUAUCACUUAUAGAUGGACCCGCGCCGUAUUAGCUAGUUGGUAAGGUAACGGCUUACCAAGGCGACGAUACGUAGCCGACCUGAGAGGGUGAUCGGCCACACUGGAACUGAGACACGGUCCAGACUCCUACGGGAGGCAGCAGUAGGGAAUCUUCCGCAAUGGGCGAAAGCCUGACGGAGCAACGCCGCGUGAGUGAUGAAGGUCUUCGGAUCGUAAAACUCUGUUAUUAGGGAAGAACAUACGUGUAAGUAACUGUGCACGUCUUGACGGUACCUAAUCAGAAAGCCACGGCUAACUACGUG
rnacentral:rRNA from 1 species